UGGCCUCAAACUUACAUGUACACAAGGAUAACCUUGAACUUCUGAUUCUCCAGCCUCCAUCUUCGGAGAGCAUAGACUACUAGUUUGUACACGGACUUUAUGUGAUGCUAGGGAUGAAAUACAGGGCUUCCUUCAAGCCAGGCAAGCAAGCUGUCAACUAAGCUAUAUCCCAAGCCUGGGUCACAUCACUUAUGGCUCCAGGAGACAUAGCUCUUGACCUGUCCAGGAUGAAGGGAAGAGUCUUAUGGAAGGACAUCUGCUUGAACUGCCAAACUGAGAAAUUGAGGCUCUGAAUCCAAACAAGCAGGACCCAGGUUCUAAACCUGCCAGGUUCCACGGCAGACAGGCCACAAGGGAGGAAAGAGAUAAGGAAACUCCUUGACAGUAAGAGCCUUACUUCCAGCACCUGCCGGAUAACUUACUGAUCACUUUCAAGCCCCAGACUUUUGUCCUGGCUACCCUUUAAUGGGGCUCACAGUUUUGCAUAGGUAGCUACAUAUUAAGACCAUGUAGUCCUGGCCCGACAAAGGUAAACCCUCUGAGGGUGAGCAGGAAGACUGAAAGCCACCGAUGCUUCAGCCGAACCAUCUCCAGGAAGACAUUCCCAGAUGUGCAUGGGCCACAGCUGGAACCUAUUCUGGCCUGUUUGUUUGAAACCUGGCUAGGAGCACCAUAUGGAGGAGCCAGCUAAAGAGAGAGAACUGAAUGGGUGUGUAGUGAAGAACCCAGAGCUCCCAAUAACUGGGAACAUGGAGUCAGGGCUCCAGGAGUAGGGAGAAGAAAACAUGCCCAGAAAUAAUGUUCAAGAACCAUGGGGUGGCCCAGGUGGCCCAGGCUCCUUCUCAGCUGGGUAUUUUUCUCCCCGAGAGUUAGGGCCAACCCAGAAUCUAAUCUAAAAAAUUGUUCUCUCCAGAUGAGUAGAAUCCCAAGUGCAAUCCUAGCCAUUGGGAUACUGAGGUAGGUAGAUUUCUGUGAGCUGGAGGCCAGCCUGAGCUAUUAUAGUGCGUUACAGGAUAGCCUUCGCUACCCAGCAAGAGCAAGACUCUCUGUUUAAAAAAAAAAAAUUACCUUUAAUCACUAAGUCGGGUGCAGAAGAUGUCUUCUUUCUGGAAGAAAAAGAUCCCUUGAAUUUUUGGAUGUCUCCAGAGACAAACAAAUCCACAGCGCAGACUGUCUCACCCUGAGACUGAUGUACCAGUUGUUUCAGGCUACUUCAAGCUCCAAGGCUCUGAGCAGAUCUAAACAGCCAGAGCCAGCUCUAGGUCUGUGGAAGAGGCCAGGGUGGCCUGAGGCACCUUGUGGAAAAGCCAUUUCUCAUCUGGCAGCCGAGAGGCUCGACAGCCCACCAUUUCCUCCGAAGAGGCCUGACUGUCAGGCUCCCCAGCCGAUGUUCCCUGGAAUUCCCAGACAGUGCACAGUGGCUGGCCACAGGAGGAAAAGGUAUAGAGACCAAGAUGGAGCCACUUGGGGGGCAUUGUGACUUCAGGCCCUGACUGUUAGCCAUGAGAGCCUGGGAUGUGAGAUCAAGGCCACCCUGCUACCAUCAUGUUUCUCUUUGCCCUGGGAACUAACGGGCCACACUCACUAGAGGAUUACGUAUGGAGAAAGUAUGUUGCCUGGGAUGUGCAGACACUGCCCUCCUUGGAGACCAGCCUCUUCCCUGCUCUGGAGCAACCCGUCUGCAAGCACGUGGUGGUCCUCCACCCCACUCCUGGGCCAGGAGCAAGUGGCUGCAGCCAGGCCUGGGCCAAACAGGCACUCACC